AUACGAAGGGGGCAAGCGUUGUUCGGAAGAACUGGGCGUAAAGCGCACGUAGGCGGAAUGUUAAGUUAGAGGUGAAAUCACAGGGCUCAACCCUGGAACUGCCUUUAAUACUGGCAAUCUAGAGACCGAGAGAGGUGAGUGGAAUUCCGAGUGUAGAGGUGAAAUUCGUAGAUAUUCGGAGGAACACCAGUGGCGAAGGCGGCUCACUGGCUCGGUACUGACGCUGAGGUGCGAAAGCGUGGGGAGCAAACAGGAUUAGAUACCCCAGUAGUCC
rnacentral:rRNA from 1 species